rnacentral:lncRNA from 1 species
CAGAUAUGAUGACACAAGCUACUCCCAUAGGCCCUCAAGAUCUAGAAUGCAAAAAAACCAGUGACUGUAUUGGAACUCCUAAAUGCGACGAAAAAUGCCAAGAUCUGUGUGACGGUGGAGUUUGCAAAUGCGUAUGUCCUACCAAAUUUCAUUAACUAGAAUUGUUUUAGUUAAGAACUUGUCCUUGAAGGUAAAGUGACUUAAUGAAUUCAAUUAUAUGAAUAAUAACGACGACCGA